CACGUAGGGCGCAAGCGUUGUCCGGAAUUAUUGGGCGUAAAGAGCUCGUAGGCGGUCUGUUACGUCUGCUGUGAAAACCCAGGGCUUAACCCUGGGCUUGCAGUGGAUACGGGCAGACUAGAGGCAGGUAGGGGAGAAUGGAAUUCCCGGUGUAGCGGUGAAAUGCGUAGAUAUCGUAAGGAAGACCAGUGGCGAAGGCGGGUCUCUGGACAGUUCCUGACGCUGAGGCACGAAGGUCAGGGGAGCAAACGGG
rnacentral:rRNA from 1 species